rnacentral:rRNA from 1 species
UACGUAGGUGGCAAGCGUUGUCCGGAUUUACUGGGCGUAAAGGGAGCGUAGGCGGACUUUUAAGUGAGAUGUGAAAUACCCGAGCUCAACUUGGGUGCUGCAUUUCAAACUGGAAGUCUAGAGUGCAGGAGAGGAGAAGGGAAUUCCUAGUGUAGCGGUGAAAUGCGUAGAGAUUAGGAAGAACACCAGUGGCGAAGGCGCUUCUCUGGACUGUAACUGACGCUGAGGCUCGAAAGCGUGGGGAGCAAACAGG